UACGUAGGGGGCAAGCGUUAUCCGGAAUUACUGGGUGUAAAGGGAGCGUAGACGGUGAUGCAAGUCUGAAGUGAAAUGCGGGGGCUCAACCCCUGAACUGCUUUGGAAACUGUAUGACUUGAGUACCGGAGAGGUAGGCGGAAUUCCCAGUGUAGCGGUGAAAUGCGUAGAUAUUAGGAGGAACACCGGUGGCGAAGGCGGCUUACUGGACGGUAACUGACGUUGAGGCUCGAAGGCGUGGGGAGCAAAC
rnacentral:rRNA from 1 species